GGGGGGUUGCCACUGACCUUCGAGUGUCAAAGUUAAAGCAGAUCGUGGAGCAGACGUGGACGGUUGGUUCUCCAGGGAACGGUGAGAAAAGAUGAGUCCUCAGCACCUCAUCAGCACAUACUCGGAGCAGUUUGUCCCCCCCGGCGGAGGGAAGCCGGCUGUACCUCGGCCGUCGUCCCCUAGCCGUAGGAACAACCCCCACCCACGGCCGGACUUCCUGGUCCCUCUGCCACUGCUCUCCAGCUCGAGGUCACCAAGGGCAUCAGUAAACGCUGUUCCUUUCGUGGGCCGACCCUUAUUCCCUCCAGUUAGAUACCUGUCCUUUCAAGGCAAAUGUCAGCCUCCAACUCCCAGAGGAGGCUGCAAUCUACCAACUCUCCUGCGGCACAACAUAAUCACAAACCACAACCAUACUGGCGCUCCAACACGCUGGAUUCAUGUGCUGGAUACAGCUGCUUCAAUGUAGUCAAGCCCUUCCAGGCCGGGCACUUCAUCAUACACCCCGAGUUUGUAUCAGAGAACCUACGCCCUGCGAACUUCGGGAAUAUCAACAACAAAUGUCAUUAGAUAUUCUAGCUGUAUAAAAGUAUGGUUGUCUAAUAAACCCUAUGAUUUUGUGCGUGGAUAUUUUAAAUGUAUAUUUAUCAAUAUAGAGAAAAUCUGUCAGACCCUAUGCUGCCACACCCUUUCCAACGUCCCUUGCAAAAGGCAUAGAUCCCUUUGUCUCAAAAUAAAAGUCUGA
ensembl:lncRNA